rnacentral:lncRNA from 1 species
GAGAGAGAGAGAGAGAGAGAGAGAGAGAGAGAGAGAGAUUUUCAAAACAGGGCAAUAUGAAUCAGAGCAAAGAGAAUGCAGCCAAUGGUGCUUCUUUACCAUUAGGAAAGGAUGGCCAAAAUUGUUUCCCUUAGAAGAGGAUCCUAGUGUUGUGUCUCUAUUACCAUGAAAACACAUAAAAGUCAAAAGAAAAUGUUUCUAUCUCCAUAUUUGGGUAUAUUUCAAUCUCCAAAUGAAGCUGUCCUAUUUAAUUCUUUAUGAAAUAUCACUUUCUCUCGUACUCUCACUCCCACAGAUUAUUUCAUGCAAACUAAGUUGUAGACUCUCCAAAAAGUGAUGGACAUCCCAUUAACUAAAUGAAAUGAAGGAAACUACAUAACAAUCAAACACACUUGUAAGAUCAUAAAAGGAACUUUGAGUACAAUAAGAAAUCACAGAAAUAAAACAAAGGAAACAACAAAUUUAGCUUUUGCAAUCUGUAAAUAUCAAAAGUAAAUGUACAAGUAAAUGCAUACAAAACAACAAACUUAGCUCUUAGAAAUCACCACAUGACAAAAUUACAAAGAAAGGCAGACUCUUGUAAUAUAAUGACAGAAGCAUGCAUAGUAUCUACCCUGUUGUAGGUGUGACGAUAGCAUCUGCAGUCUUAAAAAUAUUCAUGUGAUAGAACAUUUGCCGAUGCCUGAAAUACAUUGUACAUUGACAACUUAGGCAGUCCAAAACAAAAUAUACAUAUCAAAGCAAAGGAAAAUCAAUUCCAAAACAACAAUGUAGUGCUUGAGAUAACAAAAUUAAAUUUCAAAAAUUGUUAUUUAGAGUUUGAGGAACUGUUCACAAGUACUGAACAUCCCACAUCAUCCUUGUAAUUAUUCAGCAUUCAGUAUUCAACUCUAAUACCAUGUACAUAAUCAGAAAACAAGUUCAUGGAUAGUACAAUACAUGAUGCACAAUUCAUCAGCAAUGUUAGGAUUUUAAGCCAAUUUAAAGUUUUAUAAUGACUCUAACUUCUAACGUAUCAGGAGAAAGUUGAAGUCUGAUUUUGGCACCAAAACGGGCUCAGAGCAUGAUAUCUGAUGCUUCCCCAGUAAUAUCACCUAUUUUCGGUUAUUUUACAGGAAUCUCUCAUAAACACACUCAGGCAAUCCUGCAUCUCGAGAGUUUAUUUGACCCAGGGGAAGAGCUCACAUUAUUUUUGAGCAUUGGAUGCCAAUCAACCCUAACCUUCCAUUAGACUCCCGAAUAA